UGCGGUUUCAGCAUGCGUUAGGCUCCUCCCAUCAUCCCUCUGACUGCUGGCCCAUUCAACUCUGGCACCGCAAUCAUCCACCACGGACGGCUCCGAUUAGCGUUUCUCACUGAGCGGCUUCCAUCUGCUGCCAGCGGCGGCUGCCGAGUACGGACAUCUAAGUCCCAGUGUGCUUACCUACCUCCCUACACCUGGCUAUUCCGGAAAAUACUCCGCUGCACGUAUUCAAUUGUCAAGAAGUAGCACCGGCGCAGAGAGUCCCCUGCGGUGUUACAGGCAUCCCCUUUGAUCAGUGUAGAGGUAUGGGCUGCUGCUAUGACACAAGUUUCCCCGGAGCCCCCGUGUGUUACACCAAAGCAGCACAACCAGUAGUAAUGGUCGCACCACCACCAGGGCCAAGCGAGGCCGAAAAACUGCAAGCGCUGUGCUUGAAAUGUGCUCAACUUAGAUCGCAGGGUCUCCUGGGUGGUCUCCUGACUGAUGUUACUGAUAUUCUAUUUGGAAAUAAACAUCCGGAGUGCGCUCCAUGUGGUCACGGUGGACUUCUGAAACGGGAAUCUCCUCUCUAGAAUAUCGGAGGACCACUACCAAAGCAUGGCUGAAGACUCCUACAGAGAAACCAAUAUAAGCUAUGUGUGUAGGUGUAGCGCAUAUUACUCUAUGUCCAGUACAGCACUAUAUAUGUAUGUUUAAUUGAGUUUGUACCUGCAGUAAGAUUGUCUACUAUGCAGAAAUGAAUACAUCUAAUGCUUCAAUGAAUCAGGGGGUUUCUGUACUUGCUGAAAUAAUCAGUGUAAUUGAAUAAAAGAGUCUGCUUUAUGCAUUAUUUA